UACGUAGGGUGCAAGCGUUGUCCGGAAUUAUUGGGCGUAAAGAGCUCGUAGGCGGUUUGUCGCGUCUGCUGUGAAAACUCGGGGCUUAACCCCGGGCCUGCAGUGGGUACGGGCAGACUAGAGUGCGGUAGGGGAGACUGGAAUUCCUGGUGUAGCGGUGAAAUGCGCAGAUAUCGGAAGGAACAUCAGUGGCGAAAGCGGCUUCCUGGACCAGCACCGGCGUCAGGCACGAAAGCGUGGGGAGCAAACAGG
rnacentral:rRNA from 1 species